AGAGUUUGAUCCUGGCUCAGCGGCGUGGGGCGUGCUAUAAUGCAGUCGAACGAACUCUGGUAUUGAUUGGUGCUUGCAUCAUGAUUUACAUUUGAGUGAGUGGCGAACUGGUGAGUAACACGUGGGAAACCUGCCCAGAAGCGGGGGAUAACACCUGGAAACAGAUGCUAAUACCGCAUAACAACUUGGACCGCAUGGUCCGAGUUUGAAAGAUGGCUUCGGCUAUCACUUUUGGAUGGUCCCGCGGCGUAUUAGCUAGAUGGUGGGGUAACGGCUCACCAUGGCAAUGAUACGUAGCCGACCUGAGAGGGUAAUCGGCCACAUUGGGACUGAGACACGGCCCAAACUCCUACGGGAGGCAGCAGUAGGGAAUCUUCCACAAUGGACGAAAGUCUGAUGGAGCAACGCCGCGUGAGUGAAGAAGGGUUUCGGCUCGUAAAACUCUGUUGUUAAAGAAGAACAUAUCUGAGAGUAACUGUUCAGGUAUUGACGGUAUUUAACCAGAAAGCCACGGCUAACUACGUGCCAGCAGCCGCGGUAAUACGUAGGUGGCAAGCGUUGUCCGGAUUUAUUGGGCGUAAAGCGAGCGCAGGCGGUUUUUUAAGUCUGAUGUGAAAGCCUUCGGCUCAACUGAAGAAGUGCAUCGGAAACUGGGAAACUUGAGUGCAGAAGAGGACAGUGGAACUCCAUGUGUAGCGGUGAAAUGCGUAGAUAUAUGGAAGAACACCAGUGGCGAAGGCGGCUGUCUGGUCUGUAACUGACGCUGAGGCUCGAAAGUAUGGGUAGCAAACAGGAUUAGAUACCCUGGUAGUCCAUACCGUAAACGAUGAAUGCUAAGUGUUGGAGGGUUUCCGCCCUUCAGUGCUGCAGCUAACGCAUUAAGCAUUCCGCCUGGGGAGUACGGCCGCAAGGCUGAAACUCAAGGAAUUGACGGGGGCCCGCACAAGCGGUGGAGCAUGUGGUUUAAUUCGAAGCUACGCGAAGAACCUUACCAGGUCUUGACAUACUAUGCAAAU
rnacentral:rRNA from 2 species